AUGGUCAACGUACCAAAAACCCGAAGGACUUUCUGUAAGAAAUGUGGCAAGCAUCAGCCUCACAAAGUGACCCAGUAUAAGAAGGGCAAGGAUUCCCUGUAUGCCCAAGGAAAGCGGCGCUACGGUCGCAAGCAGAGUGGCUACGGUGGGCAGACAAAGCCAAUCUUUCGAAAGAAGGCCAAAACCACAAAGAAGAUUGUGCUCAGGCUUGAGUGUGUUGAGCCCAACUGCAGAUCCAAGAGGAUGCUGGCCAUUAAGAGAUGCAAGCAUUUUGAACUGGGAGGCGACAAGAAGAGGAAGGGCCAAGUGAUCCAGUUCUAA
rnacentral:lncRNA from 1 species